rnacentral:rRNA from 2 species
GACGAACGCNGGNGGCGUGCNUAAUACAUGCAAGUCGAACGAACUCUGGUAUUGAUUGGUGCUUGCAUCAUGAUUUACAUUUGAGUGAGUGGCGAACUGGUGAGUAACACGUGGGAAACCUGCCCAGAAGCGGGGGAUAACACCUGGAAACAGAUGCUAAUACCGCAUAACAACUUGGACCGCAUGGUCCGAGUUUGAAAGAUGGCUUCGGCUAUCACUUUUGGAUGGUCCCGCGGCGUAUUAGCUAGAUGGUGGGGUAACGGCUCACCAUGGCAAUGAUACGUAGCCGACCUGAGAGGGUAAUCGGCCACAUUGGGACUGAGACACGGCCCAAACUCCUACGGGAGGCAGCAGUAGGGAAUCUUCCACAAUGGACGAAAGUCUGAUGGAGCAACGCCGCGUGAGUGAAGAAGGGUUUCGGCUCGUAAAACUCUGUUGUUAAAGAAGAACAUAUCUGAGAGUAACUGUUCAGGUAUUGACGGUAUUUAACCAGAAAGCCACGGCUAACUACGUGCCAGCAGCCGCGGUAAUACGUAGGUGGCAAGCGUUGUCCGGAUUUAUUGGGCGUAAAGCGAGCGCAGGCGGUUUUUUAAGUCUGAUGUGAAAGCCUUCGGCUCAACCGAAGAAGUGCAUCGGAAACUGGGAAACUUGAGUGCAGAAGAGGACAGUGGAACUCCAUGUGUAGCGGUGAAAUGCGUAGAUAUAUGGAAGAACACCAGUGGCGAAGGCGGCUGUCUGGUCUGUAACUGACGCUGAGGCUCGAAAGUAUGGGUAGCAAACAGGAUUAGAUACCCUGGUAGUCCAUACCGUAAACGAUGAAUGCUAAGUGUUGGAGGGUUUCCGCCCUUCAGUGCUGCAGCUAACGCAUUAAGCAUUCCGCCUGGGGAGUACGGCCGCAAGGCUGAAACUCAAAGGAAUUGACGGGGGCCCGCACAAGCGGUGGAGCAUGUGGUUUAAUUCGAAGCUACGCGAAGAACCUUACCAGGUCUUGACAUACUAUGCAAAUCUAAGAGAUUAGACGUUCCCUUCGGGGACAUGGAUACAGGUGGUGCAUGGUUGUCGUCAGCUCGUGUCGUGAGAUGUUGGGUUAAGUCCCGCAACGAGCGCAACCCUUAUUAUCAGUUGCCAGCAUUAAGUUGGGCACUCUGGUGAGACUGCCGGUGACAAACCGGAGGAAGGUGGGGAUGACGUCAAAUCAUCAUGCCCCUUAUGACCUGGGCUACACACGUGCUACAAUGGAUGGUACAACGAGUUGCGAACUCGCGAGAGUAAGCUAAUCUCUUAAAGCCAUUCUCAGUUCGGAUUGUAGGCUGCAACUCGCCUACAUGAAGUCGGAAUCGCUAGUAAUCGCGGAUCAGCAUGCCGCGGUGAAUACGUUCCCGGGCCUUGUACACACCGCCCGUCACACCAUGAGAGUUUGUAACACCCAAAGUCGGUGGGGUAACCUUUUAGGAACCAGCCGCCUAAGGUGGGACAGAUGAUUAGGGUGAAG